rnacentral:rRNA from 1 species
CAGCCGCCGCGGUAAUACGAAGGGGGCUAGCGUUGCUCGGAAUGACUGGGCGUAAAGGGCGCGUAGGCGGCGAUCAAAGUCAGGCGUGAAAUUCCUGGGCUCAACCUGGGGGCUGCGCUUGAUACUUGGUUGCUUGAGUGGGGAAGAGGGUCGUGGAAUUCCCAGUGUAGGGGUGAAAUUCGUAGAUAUUGGGAAGAACACCAGUGGCGAAGGCGGCUCACUGGACCGACACUGACGCUGAGGCGCGAAAGCGUGGGGAGCAAACAGGAUUAGAUACCCGCGUAGUCCCUGUCUCUUAUAA